AUUUAGAGCUUAUACCUCCCCGUAUAUAUGUAUGUAGUGGAGUUUGCAACUGAAAAGAAACAUUGUGUUCCCAACAAGCUACGAGAAGGACGGCUUUGACCCACAAUUAUCUCUCACAACUGAGAAUGUGGGGAGAUGUUCGUUCAUCUAGAACAAAAGGAACGGGUUGUAGGAUAAACAAUUUCUCCGGUUUCUAAGUCUGCUUCCUAGAGCUGGUUUGAAGUUCCUGCAGUUUUCACUGU